GUUCUCCGUGACUAUUUGAUAAAAGACAUUGUGUCUGAUAUCAUUAGUCCUCCACCUCUGAUUCAUGUGGGGAAGUUGGCAGUUACUUGCGGAGAACAGGUUUGUACUGGUACAGAAUCCAGGAACACUGGUUUUACAUGCAGAAAAAUAGCCGUUACAUGACUGAAAUACUGUUGUAAAACGGCGUUAAACCCAAAAAAAACAAACAAACAAACUUACGUUAUUUAAAACGCCUAUUAAUGUUAGCAUCCCUUCUGUUUCUUAAGACAAGUUACCAAACAAUAUUUUCUUUAGAUCGUCAUAGUGCAUAUCGUGUUUGUAUGAAUGUACUUGUUUCUUCUCCAGCUAUGUGAAUAAAAAGGAGGGUUUAUGUCAUAAACAAAAAUUAUGUGGUUCAGAAGGCGAGUCUGGAUAUGUCGUAUGUGAAUAUCAUAAAUAUAAGCCUGGAGUCCCAUGCAUUGUUUAUUCGUUUGGUUCAAGGUUUGUAUUUGAUUUCGAAGUAGACGUAAUUAAGAACUACAACUGUGAAGUUCACACCUUUGAUCCUAGUCAACCUUUAAGAAAAGAAAAUUAAAUCCCAUCGGGAGUGUAUUUCCAUCUAACUGGGAUAGCCGAUAAAGAUUUUACUAAUGAUGACUGUUGGGAAAUGCUGAGGCUUUCGUCCAUAAUGAAACAACUUCGACACUCACGUAAAACAAUCGCUAUUCUGAAGAUAGAUAUAGAAGGAUGGGAAUGGAAAGUUCUUCCAGACAUACUGCUGUCUCAACAGUUUGAGUGUGUGAAACAACUUGCCAUAGAAGUUCAUUUUGGACUACAGAUUAACAAGACAACUGGAUUUAAAACAUUCUCUCGAAAUAACUGGGGUUUUGUUUCAAAGAAUGAAAAAUUAGAUGUGCUUAAAAACCUGCAGACGUUUGGAUUUAAGAUAUUCAAAAGAAAAUCAAACCCUGUGUCGAAGGUGCUUUAAAAAGAUUCUGUAGAGAUAUAACAACUUGUAACGUUUUAUCGUUGAUAAAUCAUAAUUUUGAACCCAGUAAAUGUCAAAUUUCAAUAAGUAUGUGAUGUUAAGAAAAAACCUAUAUUGUGCAUGUUAUAGGAAUCAUACACUUAGAACUAAUAAGAAAUAUGAAUUUCCCUGAUCACAAAACAGCACAUUAUUCAAACGGCCUCCACAAAUAUCAUAGCUCUUUUUCCCUCAAUAUUUCUUGACCUGACUAAAGAUAACAAAAUCUGUAUUGUCUCCGUUAUCUUUUCAUUAUCUGAAGAAGCUUUCGUGGGUACGGGCCCUUUGUAAGGAUUUUAAUUUACCCAUCAUACAGAACUUUUUACACUUAUAUAAGAAUACAGUUCGGCAAUAAAUGGAGGUUUUAAGAUCGGUCGUAGAAAUCUAGCGGUGUGCCGUAACCAUGGAAACGGCUACAGAAGCUGAUAAUCGCGAAAACUAAAAAAACUCUGUUUUGUCAUAUUUCAAGAAGCAAUGGUAUUAGAAAUUUGAUUUUUUUUUCAUAUGUUUAUUAAGCUAUGAAUACCUAUUGUUUGCAGUGAUUAUAUUCUAAAUAUCUUAUCAAAUUUCUUAACUGUUGUCAGCACGUGCAAUUUUAGUUAUUGGCACGUGCAUUCAGAUGUGACCCAACAAGGUGCAUCUUUUAAUCAGAAAAUGUUUUCUGGACUUAAUUACAAUUAUUGCUGAUUUUUUGCUUGAAAAUGUUGUAUAAUACGCAUGCAAUUAAAAUUCUAAAACUUUUGAUACGUCAGUUUAACACCAUUUCAUAGUGGAUUGCAAUUGCAUGCCAUAUACGUUAUUCGUUCGCUUCCCUUUUUAAUACACAUGGACAAUGAAGUUGGAGAAAAACUCGUUGAAUCUCGGCUUGGAAUAUUUGACAUAUAUAAUAUGAAAAGAAGGAUUAUCAAAUUUAUUGUUGUAAAACAUGUGAAUAAAUUAUUUUCUUUUUGUUUUGUUUUUUGUGACAUUGUUACCUGUCAGUAUUGUAUGGAUAUGCUUAAGAUAUAAUGCAUGCAUAAACUUAAUAAUU